CCAAUAACUCCGCCUGUAGCUCUUCUAGAGUUACUGCCGGUCCCAAGCCCGAGUAAAUGUGGAGGGUUGG
rnacentral:ribozyme from 2 species